AUAGGUUUGGUCCUGGCCUUUCUAUUAGUUAUUAAUAAAUUUACACAUGCAAGAAUCCCCGCCCCUGUGAAAAUGCCCUUAAACCAUGAUCUGGUACAAAGGAGCUGGUAUCAGGCACACUAGGAAGUAGCCCAUGACACCUUGCUAAGCCACACCCCCACGGGAAACAGCAGUGACAAAAAUUAAGCAAUAGAUGAAAGUCUGACUAAGUUAUAUUAUCUGGUCCUGGUAAAUCUCGUGCCAGCCACCGCGGUCAUACGAUUAGGUCAAACUAAUAGACAACCGGCGUAAAGUGUGUUUUAGAAUUUACACCUGAAUAGAGUCAAACUCUGACUAGGCUGUAAAAAGUCUCAGUCACUGUAAGAUACACAACGAAAGUAACUUUAAGAGCUCUGAUUACACGACAGCUGAGAUCCAAACUGGGAUUAGAUACCCCACUAUGCUCAGCCUUAAACUUAAGAAAUUAUAAACAAAAUUACUCGCCAGAGUACUACCAGCAACAGCUAGAAACUCAAAGGACUUGGCGGUGCCUUAUAUCCCUCUAGAGGAGCCUGUUCUAUAAUCGAUAAACCCCGAUAUACCCCACCAAUCCUUGCUAAAUCAGCCUAUAUACCGCCAUCUUCAGCAAACCCUAAAAAGGAGACAUAGUAAGCACAAACAUUAACAUAAAAACGUUAGGUCAAGGUGUAGCCUAUGGGUUGGAAAGCAAUGGGCUACAUUUUUCCCACACGGAAAAAACCACGAAAACUCAUGUGAAAUCAUUAGUUAAAGGUGGAUUUAGUAGUAAAUUAAGAAUAGAGUGCUUAAUUGAAUAAGGCCAUGAGGCACGCACACACCGCCCGUCACCCUCCUCAAGCAAUAAUUAUUAAUCAUUUUAUAAAACUUUUAACACCACUUGCAAGAGGAGAUAAGUCGUAACAAGGUAAGUGUACUGGAAAGUGCACUUGGAUAACA
rnacentral:ncRNA from 1 species